rnacentral:misc_RNA from 1 species
CUGAAAUAUAAUUAUGUAAAAAUUUUGAGCACUUGCAUGUAAUUUACCUAAGAAAAAAAGGAAAACAAAGAAGCUUAUCCGUUUGUCAGUCAACGAUGAGGGUUGCAACUAAUGCUGAACUGCCCGUGAGCUUAAUCCCAAAUCAAAUGGCGUAGGUUUUCCGUUGUAAGCAGAAUUAAAUGGAAUUUGAGUAUUUCCUGCACCGGCAUGAUUUGAAGCUUAGUGAAAAGCAGGAUGAAGAUGGAGUUAUCUGCAACGGAUGUAAGAAGAGCUUGUUAGGUCUGAGCUAUGGCUGGGAUCGUUGUAAAUUUUAUCUUCAUCAAUCUGGUGCAGAGCUUCCGGAAGAGUUCCGUCAUUUUAUUCACCCAUGCCCUCUUAUCCUUAAAAUUCGUUCUAGUUUUACCUGUAAUGCUUGUUAUGAACGCCGCUCAGGCUUUGCCUAUUGCUGCGUAAAGUGCCGUUUUGCGGUGGAUGCUGACUGUGUCCAGCCUGGUACCGUCAAGUCUAAAGGUGGAGAAAAGCACAUUGAACAUUUAAGUCAUCGACACCCUUUGGUUCGCUUGGGAAACUUGAAAGAUGAUGAAGCUUUGUGUGCAAUAUGUGGAACGCUCUGCACUGGUCCUGCUUUUGGUUGCAGCCUGUGCAAUUUUUAUCUCCAUGAAUUCUGCUUGGAGACUUUACCUCAGAAGAUUAAGCACUUCUCUCACCCAUCAUGCUCUCUUAUAUUGCUCACAACUCCAUCUUAUCGAUGUGGUGCUUGUGAAAAAUACCGCUGUGGCUUGACCUUCCGUUGUGGUAAGUGUAAUUUCGAGUUGUGCGUUGAAUGUUGUCUGAUGUCCAUUAUAAAAUCUGAUGGGUCUUCCAAAUAUCCACUGAAGAUCCAACAUUUCGUUCACCCAUGUCCUCUAAUUCUCCGAAUUUCAUCCACUUUUUACUGUGACGCUUGUUGCGGACAUCGCUCAGAUUUCACUUACCGUUGCAAUCAGUGCGAUUUUGAUAUGGAUUUUGAGUGUGCACAACUUUCCACCAUAACAUCUGAAGGUGAAAAUGAACAAAUUCAACACCAUAGUCAUUGGCAUCCUUUGAAACCCUUUGAAAAGAUUGACCAGGUUUCAUGUGAAGUAUGUGAAAGUGUCCGCCAAGAUCGUAUCUAUGGUUGCAGCCAAUGCGAAUUUUACCUUCACAAAGCUUGUAUGGAUAAUUUACCUCAAAAGAUUCAACACUUGUUUCAUCCAUGUCCUCUUGUACUACUCCCAGUUCCAUAUUCCUAUAAUUGCUCUGCUUGUGACAAAAUUUGCUCACCAGAUUUGACCUUCUUCUGUGGCAAUUGUCGUUUCUAUCUGGAUAUUAAAUGCGCCUUGCAAAUGCAGCCCACGGUGGCAUGUGAGGCUUAUGGGAUGAUUCAACAUAUUAGCCAUGUGCAUCCUUUGACACUCUAUCCAGAUAUGAAUGUUCAUAACGAAGCUUGCUGCAGAGGAUGUCAGAAGAGCUGCUUGGGAGUCACAUAUGGUUGCAGCUCUUGCAACUUCUUCUUGCAUAAAUCUUGUGCGGAGCUCCCAACAGAGAUCCAAAAUUUUGCUCACCCAUCUCACCCCCUUAGUCUUUUGAUUUUGACUUGUCAAAAUCCCAAGAAAUUCAAGUGCAAUAUUUGUCUCAAGGAUUGCCGUGGAUUCUUUUUUCAUUGCCGCGAGUGCAAUUUCCAACUGGAUGUUGAAUGUGCUUCCUUGACGCCAAGUGUAAACUUUGGGGAUCACGCUCACCGUCUCACAGUUGUGGAUAAUAUAUAUGAUGAACUCGAGUGUUGUGCUUGUAAUGGCAGCUGUAUUGGCUCCCCUGCAUUCCGUUGUCUAAAAUGUAAUUUCAAUCUCCACCUUGUAUGUGGUCCGUUGCCAAUCACCAUUAAACACAAAUGUCACAUAGAUCCCCUCACUCUCAAGGACUUCUAUGUUGAAGAUGAUGACGAUGAUGAAUUUUACUGCGAUGCUUGUGAACUACCAAGGAAUCCACGACUUUGUGUUUAUUAUUGUGAGACGGGUUGCCCAAUGAUCGUUGAUGUAAAGUGUGUAAUAUCUGAGGUACUUAUCCAUAUUGCCAAUUCUUUUACAAAGACUAAGAUCAUUUUGCUGACAAUAAUUUUAUUCUUUUUGUUUUCAUUUCUUAAAGCUUGCGUAGCUGAAGCUGUAUGCUCAGUCUAUGUAUCUGUUAAUUGUUGCUUGCUAGGUUAUACCCGCACUAAGGGGAGAGCGUGGAGAUGUGAAA